rnacentral:rRNA from 3 species
GGAUGCGAUCAUACCAGCACUAAAGCACCGGAUCCCAUCAGAACUCCGAAGUUAAGCGUGCUUGGCCGAGAGUAGUACUAGGAUGGGUGACCUCCUGGGAAGUCCUCGUGUUGCAUUCC